rnacentral:rRNA from 1 species
AAUAGAUACCCGGUAGUCCAUGCCGUAAACGUUGGGAACUAGAUGUAGGGCCUGUUCCACGGGUUCUGUGUCGUAGCUAACGCAUUAAGUUCCCCGCCUGGGGAGUACGGCCGCAAGGCUAAAACUCAAAGGAAUUGACGGGGGCCCGCACAAGCGGCGGAGCAUGCGGAUUAAUUCGAUGCAACGCGAAGAACCUUACCAAGGCUUGACAUAUAGAAGAACACUGCAGAGAUGCAGGACUCUUUGGACACUUCUAUACAGGUGGUGCAUGGUUGUCGUCAGCUCGUGUCGUGAGAUGUUCGGUUAAGUCCGGCAACGAGCGCAACCCUCGUCCUAUGUUGCCAGCACGUGAUGGUGGGAACUCAUGGGAUACUGCCGUGGUCAACACGGAGGAAGGUGGGGAUGACGUCAAAUCAUCAUGCCCCUUAUGUCUUGGGCUUCACGCAUGCUACAAUGGCCGGUACAAAGGGCUGCGAUACCGUAAGGUGGAGCGAAUCCCAAAAAGCCGGUCUCAGUUCGGAUUGGGGU